ensembl:lncRNA
UCUUUUGACAAGGAAGAGCCGCAUGAUUCAGACAGAAGCCACAAUUGACCAUUUUAACCAAAACUUAGCAAGUCUCACAGAUGGCUUGCUCCAAGGGAACAGUUACCUCCUGUGACUAAGGAGAAACAAAAUGUUGGAGGGUGUGAAAAGAACAUUCUUCUGAAGCUUUGAUGGAUUAAUUGAGUUGAUAUUACAGUAGUUUUGAAUCUUUCCUUGAUAAUGCCUAAGCAGAGAUCAAUAUUAACCAAUGAGAUCUCUUGGGUAUACAGGAGGACAAAAGAAGACACACAUAAUUGAUAGUUUUCUUAAAAUACUUUUUAAAACUCCAGCUGACUCCAUUUAAAGUAUUGCUGUCUUCUAGAAUGUUUUGGAAACUAUGCAAGAAACCAAAUGCAUAAGUUGCAGUAGUACAAAAUAGAAGCAAAAAGAGCAGUUAGAUGACACUAGGCAAGUCUACUGUGUGGAUAGGGUAACGGUAUAGCAUACUAAUAGUGAAUUUUAGAUCUAUGUUUAACAUUUAAGUAGGAUAUAAACAAGAUUGAAGUCCUCUCCCUUUCAUCAAUGGUUAGCUCAAAAGACUCAUCCCAAAAAAGUAAGUAGUAUCUGUAAUGAAACAUUGUUGCUAUGAAUAUGCUAUUCAGUGUAGCCGGGGGAUGAUUUAACGUCCAGAUCUUCUAUGGACAUAACAAAAAGAUACAUAUCAUCAAUAUAUACACAUAAGUGUUACUUUCCAAAAAUGGUCUUCUUCCCAUAGCCCCAUCUACCAUCUGGGCUUUAACUUGGAUUUAAAAGUUAUGAAUUAAUAAAUAAGGCUCAGCACUUUCCAAUCUCAUCUUCAAGUAGAUCUGCAAUGCUUUAAAAUGUUGUGAUCAGUGUAACCCAAUUGAAGCUGGGCCUCUUCGUGGUUUCUCUCAGCAGGGAGUUGUAUUUAGAAGAAACUCAACACCAGUGUCUAAAUUAAUAUAAAACCAACUUAAAGGUUUAUUCCUGAUAUGCAAAUGAAAAAGUUCCAAAGAAAAAUUAUAUAUUAUACAAUAUUUUAAAAAAUUAUUUUAACUCUGUAUUUCCCAAAGAACCAUUUAGUAUAGCAUGAACACUACUUCUUAGUGUACUUCUCCUUAAAAUUAUGUUCCUAAAAUCAUCAUGUGUAGCUGUUUAUCUCCCUGGCCCCUUCUCCCAAAGUCUCCCUGAUUGCUUCCUUCAUAAUGUAAAUCAAUAUGGUUUUACUAUGUUUAUUUCUUUGCCUCACUCUGUUCAGUGUCCCAGACUUGAUGGAUGCCUGAACCACAAAUGGUUUUUAUAUCUUAGAAAUGGGAAUGGGGGAGGGGGAAUUUCUGUGAAUAUUCAUAUUAAUAUUUUUAGUCCCUACAAUAUCAGAAAACAACAGUGCCAGUUAUCAAUUUGUUGACUUUUAUCUCCAAAUUCAACUUUUUUGUCACGUCUCUGAAAAUGCAUCUGGGCCCUUUAAAUAUUUUUUCUUUGCCUCCUGGCAAGAUAUUAGGCUUUGCAAGUGGGAGGGACUGGAGAGACAUUGCAGGAAAAAGGGUUGGGUUUUGCUUCCUGCUUCUUGUGUGCUUGCUUAGCCAGCUCCUGCAGUGUGGGUGGCUUCUCUAGCAUCCAGUUCCUGUAGUCUAUGUGGCUUUCUCCAGCAGCAAGGUCUUACAGUGCACUGCAGCCAACAGUGUUCAGUGGCCAGCAACUCUGCUGGCACCUCUCAGGCAGUUUUGUGUGGAGUGCCUCAAGUGACACCUCUUAUGAACAGCUUUCCCUAGCACCCUAGGGGGAACAUUUCCAGCAAGUUCCAUUGGCACCACAGCAACUUCUCCACCAUUCAGUGACCCACACCCAUAACUGCCUUCUCCAGUAACGCCUUGAUUUCAGCCUUGCAUGCUCUCUCUAAGGUCUAACGGUGGUGGCUGCUUCAUAUAUCUGCUAUUUCUAUGUCCUUUAUAAUUAUUUUUACUUCUUAUUAGGUAAUCCUCUGUUACUUCAAUACCGAUAUAGUUCAUAAUUAUUUAUAUCAAACUUUAUCUGUUCAUGUUACUAUGUGGUUUCUCCCUUCAGACUGGACUCAGACUGAUUCAAUCAUAACUAACGAAAUAUGAGAAUUACUUCAUAAGAAGUUAUAAUUUCCAAAGAGCCAAUUGCUCUUAUGUAUGAGCAUUCAAUUUCACACAGGAAAUGACUCAAGCACAUCUGACCAAUUCUCUAACCGAAUAAUUUAGAAACAUCACAGAAUGGAUUUUAUAACAAGAUAGUUUAAUUUUCUCAAUCCAAACACCCCUUUUGCAAUACUAGUAAUGGAAACAAAAAUUUCUAUCUCCUAUAAAAGACAAUGUUAC